GGAGAUUCAGUUGAUAUUGUACCUUUGUGAUUUGUUUUGGGGUCCAUAUUGAAGAAUACUAAUCAGUCAAGUUUGGAGAACAUGAGUAAUUCCUCUUUGCCACUAUUACUUGCGGUUCCAUCGUAUUCAAUCAACUGAUAGAGAUAGACCCAUUGGAGAUAGGUAUGUGGAUACCGAUUCGGUUGCACAUGCCUUUAGUGUUUUUGAAGGUGUUGAGAAUAGCCAAUGGCCUAAAAUGAAAGAAUUGAGAGUUGAUUCUGCUUCAUGAUAUGCUUCGACACUAUUUGGUAAUUUCGAAUUCUUUGUGAAUUUUGAGAAACUCAGUGUGUUGGGUUAGGUAUCCACAUUGGAUAUCGUAGAAGAAGAGAAGAAAGUUUGGUUCUUAUUGAAGAGUUCGAAUUUUUCGUUGCAGACAGCGAAAUUGUGGAGUUUCAUUCGUUGCAUCAAAAUUUGUGUCAAGAUGAAGAUUAUUGAUAAGGUUGAAUUAUUGAGAGAUUAUUUUUUCAUUACUUCCACGUGUUUUAAUUGCAAAAAUAUUAUUUCUUUUAUUUCACGUGAUUUUCGAUUUUGUUCCCAUCUUUUUUAUAUUUUUAGGGCUUGGCGUGCACCCCUCUAAAUAUUAUAUUCUUUUCAUAAGUUUUGUAUUACUGAAAUAUAGAAUAAUUGUGUAAGCACAAUUAUUAUAUUUAUUUUUUUCCAUAUUAGUCAAUUGAAUAAAAUACUCAAUUCUUCUGCCAAUUAAUUCUUUGCCUUUUUAUCUUAUUGUUUGUUUGUGAUCGUAUACUUCAU
rnacentral:lncRNA from 1 species